UGUAUUGGUACAGGAAUCAAAAGAGGAGCUGUUUUUUAAAAAACAACAUUAUCUUUGCUAAAUCUCUGAUACUUAAAUCAUUCCUCCUCCAGAUUCUGGAAAACCGAAGGCAGUGCUGGACAACUAUAGCUCUACGUUUAAGUAUUGUGGCAGUGAAUUACUGUGCAAGAGAGAACAUUCCAAGUGAGUCUCAAAAUAGAAUGCAGUUAAAUUGGCUCAGCUGAAGUGAUAUCUUGAAUGUUUUUAGACAUUUGGGAAUGGAAGAGAAGCUGAUGUAGAGACUAGAGCAUAGCUGCCUCAUUACUCUUGGUCUAGCCCAAGGUGACAAACCAAAGAAGGAGGCUCACGGAGAUCUGGAAAUAUCAGGUAAUACAGACCUUUGUGUCCAAAAAACCCUAUGCAAAAUAGAAUUUCAGAUAGAAGAUUAACCUGCCUCUGUCAGGCUCUAUUUUAAGGCUGUGUGCCUGUGCGCAUGGUUUAAGAUAGAUAUCACAUCAUUGUGGGACACAGAAAAGCAUGGCUACAAGUAUAAUUUCAUAUGCAUGGCUGGUCCUAGGAAAGUUUGGAUAGAGGAGGAACAAAUUGCUCUUAACUUCAACCAGAACAGAAUCAGACCAAAUAUACAGUUGAGUUAGAACUGAAUAAAAUACCUUUGCCAUGUAGGCCUAAAUGUAAC
rnacentral:lncRNA from 1 species